rnacentral:rRNA from 1 species
UACGUAGGGUCCGAGCGUUGUCCGGAAUUACUGGGCGUAAAGAGCUCGUAGGUGGUUUGUCGCGUUGUUCGUGAAAACUCACAGCUCAACUGUGGGCGUGCGGGCGAUACGGGCAGACUUGAGUACUGCAGGGGAGACUGGAAUUCCUGGUGUAGCGGUGGAAUGCGCAGAUAUCAGGAGGAACACCGGUGGCGAAGGCGGGUCUCUGGGCAGUAACUGACGCUGAGGAGCAAAAGCGUGGGGAGCGAACAGG